UCUUUUUUGCUUAUAAAUCCGGCCGGAGUAGUACUUCAUUGCAGUGUAUUUUGAUAUGCAGGUAUGGGGCAAUUGUGAUGGAUGAUCAAAACACUGAUGGAAGCUUAGGCUACACUGUAUUACACAACUUUUCUUGUCAGCAUGCUGCUCCCACCUUUAUCAAUUUGAUGAAUUCUGCAAUUCUUGGGCUUGCUACUCAUGACAUGAAAGUAUUACACAACUUUUCUUGUCAGCAUGCUGCUCCCACCUUUAUCAAUUUGAUGAAUUCUGCAAUUCUUGGGCUUGCUACUCAUGACAUGAAUGCCACAAUUCAGACACGCAACCACCCUCUACCAAUGACACAAAGCCAACACUUACAACGUCAU
rnacentral:lncRNA from 1 species